UUGCUUCUUUGAUUGGUCUGUAAGC
rnacentral:piRNA from 1 species